rnacentral:rRNA from 1 species
GACAGAGGUUGCAAACGUUGUUCGGAAUUACUGGGCAUAAAGCGCACGUAGGCGGUCCGUUAAGUCAUGUGUGAAAUCCCCCGGCUCAACCGGGGAAUUGCGCAUGAUACUGGCGGGCUAGAGAUCGAUAGGGGUGAGCGGAACUCCAGGUGGAGCGGUGAAAUGCGUAGAUGUCUGGAGGAACACCGGUGGCGAAAGCGGCUCACUGGAUCGAAACUGACGCUGAGGUGCGAAAGCUAGGGUAGCAAACGGG